AUUGAACGCUGGCGGCAGGCCUAACACAUGCAAGUCGAACGGUAACAGGAAGAAGCUUGCUUCUUUGCUGACGAGUGGCGGACGGGUGAGUAAUGUCUGGGAAACUGCCUGAUGGAGGGGGAUAACUACUGGAAACGGUAGCUAAUACCGCAUAACGUCGCAAGACCAAAGAGGGGGACCUUCGGGCCUCUUGCCAUCGGAUGUGCCCAGAUGGGAUUAGCUUGUUGGUGGGGUAACGGCUCACCAAGGCGACGAUCCCUAGCUGGUCUGAGAGGAUGACCAGCCACACUGGAACUGAGACACGGUCCAGACUCCUACGGGAGGCAGCAGUGGGGAAUAUUGCACAAUGGGCGCAAGCCUGAUGCAGCCAUGCCGCGUGUAUGAAGAAGGCCUUCGGGUUGUAAAGUACUUUCAGCGGGGAGGAAGGGAGUAAAGUUAAUACCUUUACUCAUUGACGUUACCCGCAGAAGAAGCACCGGCUAACUCCGUGCCAGCAGCCGCAGUAA
rnacentral:rRNA from 1 species